UGACGCGGGUUAAAAUCCUGUUUCUAUCA
rnacentral:tRNA from 1 species